GGGGGACCUGGGGGCCGGGGGAAGCUGCUGGCCGCCCCUCCCCCCACCGAAAGCCCCUGGGACUUCUUGGGGGAAAGGCCCUCCUGGACUGAGGUCGGCAUUCAGUGCAACAAGCCCUCGUGCAUUCAAAACAGUCCGACCCAGGAAGGCCAGUCGACAGGCCUGUGGGCACCCUAAUAGCUGUUUGUUUGUUUAAGCACCUUGAAGCCCAGGUGCAUUGAAAAAAAUCUGAGACCCGGGAAGGAGCCCUUGAGGUAUGUUGUGAUUACAGCCAUUUCACAGGUGAGAUAGCUGAGUCUCUGUGGCUGAGUAGCCAAGGAAGCAGCCAUUUAACGUAGCAAAUAAUAUUACACAACGCUCUCCUCUUCUGGGAAAUAGUUGUUGGCUUUGUCAAGGCUAAUAGAAAUAAAACCUUGAAUAAACUUUCCCUGAAGUGAGA